rnacentral:rRNA from 1 species
AUUGAACGCUGGCGGCAUGCCUUACACAUGCAAGUCGGACGAGUGGCGGACGGGUGAGUAACAUAUCGGAACGUGCCCGGCAGUGGGGGAUAACUACUCGAAAGGUUAGCUAAUACCGCAUACUGUUUGAGCGGCCGAUAUCGGAUUAGCUAGUUGGUGGGGUAAAGGCUUACCAAGGCGACGAUCUGUAGCGGGUCUGAGAGGAUGAUCAGCAACACUGUGACUGAGAGACGGCCAAGACUCCUACGGGAGGCAGCAGUGGGGAAUAUUGGACAAUGGGCGCAAGCCUGAUGCAGCCAUGCCGCGUGUCUGAAGAAGGCCUUCGGGUUGUAAAGGACUUUUGUCAGGGAAGCGGUACCGGAAGAAGAAGCACCGGCUAACUACGUGCCAGCAGCCGCGGUAAUAC